UACUUCCUACGGGAGGCAGCAGUAGGGAAUCUUCCACAAUGGGCGAAAGCCUGAUGGAGCAACGCCGCGUGGGUGAAGAAGGUCUUCGGAUCGUAAAACCCUGUUGUUAGAGAAGAAAGUGCGUGAGAGUAACUGUUCACGUCUCGACGGUAUCUAACCAGAAAGCCACGGCUAACUACGUGCCAGCAGCCGCGGUAAUACGUAGGUGGCAAGCGUUAUCCGGAUUUAUUGGGCGUAAAGAGAACGCAGGCGGUCUUUUAGGUCUGAUGUGAAAGACUUCGGCUUAACCGGAGUAGUGCAUUGGA
rnacentral:rRNA from 1 species